rnacentral:tRNA from 1 species
AAUUCUUUAGUUUAAAUUAAAACAUUAAAUUGCAAAUUUAAGUAUAUAAAUAUGUAAGAAUUU